rnacentral:hammerhead_ribozyme from 1 species
AUCUAAAUGACGUAUCCAAAAUAGGACGAAAUGCGCAUCCUAUAU